rnacentral:rRNA from 2 species
UGGGGAAUAUUAGGCAAUGGGGGAAACCCUGACCUAGCAACGCCGCGUGAAGGAUGAAGGUUUUCGGAUUGUAAACUUCUUUGGCAGGGGACGAUAAUGACGGUACCCUGAGAACAAGCCACGGCUAACUACGUGCCAGCAGCCGCGGUAAUACGUAGGUGGCAAGCGUUGUCCGGAUUUACUGGGUGUAAAGGGCGAGUAGGCGGGUGCACAAGUCAGAUGUGAAAUACCGAGGCUUAACUUCGGGGCUGCAUUUGAAACUGUGCAUCUUGAGUGAUGGAGAGGCAGACGGAAUUUCCAGUGUAGCGGUAAAAUGCAUAGAGAUUGGAAGGAACACCAGUGGCGAAGGCGGUCUGCUGGACAUUAACUGACGCUGAGGAGCGAAAGUGUGGGGACCAAACAGG